CCCUUAGAUGUUCUGGGCCGCACGCGCGCUACACUGAUGCAUUCAACGAGCCUAUCCUUGGCAGAAGUGCCCGGGUAAUCUUUGAAACUGCAUCGUGAUGGGGAUAGAUUAUUGCAAUUAUUAGUCUUCAACGAGGAAUGCCUAGUAAGCGCGAGUCAUCAGCUCGCGUUGAUUACGUCCCUGCCCUUUGUACACACCGCCCGUCGCUCCUACCGAUUGGGUGUGCUGGUGAAGUGUUCGGAUUGGCUCCUAUUGGUGGCAACACUGAUUGGAGCCGAGAAGAUCAUUAAACCCUCCCACCUAGAGGAAGGAGAANUCGUANCA
rnacentral:rRNA from 1 species